UAACGAAUCUUCCGCAAUGCACGAAAGUGUGACGGAGCGACGCCGCGUGUAGGACGAAGCCCUUCGGGGUGUAAACUACUGUCAGGGGAAAGAAAGUACUGAUCUACCCCAGAGGAAGGCACGGCUAACUUCGUGCCAGCAGCCGCGGUAAGACGAACCGUGCAAACGUUGUUCGGAAUCACUGGGCUUAAAGGGCGCGUAG
rnacentral:rRNA from 1 species